UACGUAGGUGGCAAGCGUUAUCCGGAUUUAUUGGGUGUAAAGGGCGUGUAGGCGGGAGCGCAAGUCAGAUGUGAAAACUCAGGGCUCAACCCUGAGCCUGCAUUUGAAACUGUGUUUCUUGAGUGCUGGAGAGGCAAUCGGAAUUCCGUGUGUAGCGGUGAAAUGCGUAGAUAUACGGAGGAACACCAGUGGCGAGGGCGGAUUGCUGGACAGUAACUGACGCUGAGGUGCGAAAGCGUGGGGAGCAAACAGG
rnacentral:rRNA from 1 species